AUUUGUCUGGUUAAUGCCUUUAAUGAAUGAGACCUCAGCCUGCUAACUAGCUUUGCGGAGGUAUCCCUUCGCGGCCAGCUUCUUAGAGGGACUACGGCCUUUUAGGCCGUUGAACUUUGAGGCAAUAACAGGUCUAUGAUGCCCUUAGAUGUUUUGGGCCGCACGCGCGCUACACUGAUGUAUUCAACGAGCUUAUAGCCUUGGCCGACAAUCCUGGGUAAUCUUUGAAAUUUUAUCAUGAUGGGGAUAGAUCAUUGCAAUUGUUGGUCUUCAACGAGGAAUUCCUAGUAAGCGCGAGUCAUCAGCUCGCGUUGACUACGUCCCUACCCUUUGUACACACUGGCCGUCGCUCAUACUGAUUGAAUGAUCCAGUGAAAUGUUCAGAUCGCGGCGACGUGGGUGGUUCGCUGCCCGCGACAUCGCGAGAAGUCUAUUGAACAUUAACAUUUAGAGGAAGGAGAAGUCAUAAUAAGGUUUCCAUAGGUGAACCUGCAGAAGGAUCAUUGUUGAAACCUGUACAACAAAACAACCCCGCAAUUGCGUUUAACAACUAGGGAGUCUGUGCGGGCGGGGUGCUCCGGCACUCCGCACGAGCACGUCCCCCCAUACCCAGCGCACGCGCCCUCGUGUGCAGUGGUCGACCAACGAACCCCAGUGCGAGUUCUAUCAGGUAAAUCCAAUGAUUAGAGUCCUCGGGGGAGCAACGCCCUCGACCUAUUCUCAAACUUUAAAUAGGUAGGACGGCGCGACUACUUGGUUGAGCCGCGCCAUGGAAUUCAGAGCUCCAAGUGGGCCAUUUUUGGUAAGCAGAACCGGCGAUGCGGGAUAAACCGAAAGCUGGGUUACGGUGCGAAACUACAUACUAACUAAGAUCCCACAAAGGGUAUUGGUCGAUUAAGACAGCAGGACGGUGGUCAUGGAAGUCGAAAUCCGCUAAGGAGUGUGUAACAACUCACCUGUCGAAUCAACUAGCCCCAAAAAUAGAUGGUGCUUAAGCGCGCGACCUACACCCAGCCGUUGGGGCAAGUACCAGGCCCCGAUGAUUAGGAGGGUGCGACGGUUGCUGCAAAACCUUGGGCGCGAGCUCGGGCAAAACAGCCAUCGGUCCAGAUCUUGGUGGUAGUAGCAAAUAUUGAAAUGAGAACUUUGAACGCCGAAGAGGGGAAAGGUUCUAUGUGAACGGCACUUGCACAUGGGUUAGUCAAUCCUAAGGGUCGGGGAAACCCCGACAGACAGCACGUUUCGCGCGUUCUCCGAAAGGCAAUUGGGUUAAAAUUCCUGAACUGGGACGUGGCAGUCGACGACAAUGUUAGGAAGUCCGGAGACGUCGGUGGGAGCCCCGGGAAGAGUUAUCUUUUCUGUUUAACAGCCUGCCCACCCUGGAAUCGGCUCAGCCGAAGGUAGGGUCCCCCGGCUGGAAGAGCACCGCAUGUCGCGUGGUAUUCGGUGCGCUCCUGGCAGCCCUUGAAAAUACGGAGGACCGAAUGCCGUCCACGCCCGGUCGUACUCAUAACCACAUCAUGUCUCCAAGGUGAACAGCCUCUGGUCGAUGGAACAAUGUAGGCAAGGGAAGUCGACAAAAUGGAUCCAUAACUUCAGGAAAAGGAUUGGCUCGGAGGGCUAGGCACGGGGGUCCCAGUCCCGAACCCGUCUGCUAUCGACGGACUGCUCGAGCUGCUCACGCGUCCAGAGCGGGUUGCCGCAUGCCGGCCGGGGGACGGACUGGGAACGAUUCCUUCAGGAGCCUUUCCCGCGGUCGAACUGGUAUGGACAAGGGGAAUUCGAAUGUAUAAUUAAAACAAAGCAUUGCGAUGGUCCUAACGGAUGCUCACGCAAUUUGAUUUCUGCCCAGUACUCUGAAUGUCAAAGUGAAGAAAUUCAACCAAGCGCGGGUAAAAGGGAGACACUAUGACUCUCUUAAGGUAGCCAAAUGCCUCGUUAUCUAAUUAGUGAUGCGCAUGAAUGGAUUAACGAGAUUUCCACUAUCCAUGUCUACUAUCCAGCAAAAAUACAGCCAAGGGAACGAGCUUCGCAGAAUCAGCGGGGAAAAAAGACCCUGUUGAGCUUGACUCUAGUCCGACUUUAUGAAAUGACUUGAGAGGUGUAGUAUAAGUGGGAGACGAAAGGCGAAAGUGAAAUACCACUACUUUUAACGUUAUUUGACUUAUUUCGUGAAUCGGAAGCGGGGCACUGCCCCUCUUUUUGGACCCAAGGCUCGCUCUGCAGGCCUAUCCGGGCAGAAGACAUUGUCGGGAGGGGAGUUUGGCUGGGGCAGGACAUCUGUUAAAAGAUAAUGCAGGUGUCCUAAGAUGAGCUUAACGAGACCAGAAAUCUCGUGUGGAACAAAAGGGUAAAAGCUCGUUUGAUUCAGAUUUCCAGUAUGAAUAUGAACUGUGAAAGCGUGGCCUAACGAUCAUUUAGACCUUCAGAAUUCGAAGCUAAAGGUGUCAUAAAAGUUACCACAAGGAUAACCGGCUUGUGGCAGCCAAGCGUUCAUAGCAACAUUGCUUUUUGAUCCUUCGUUGUUGGCUCUUCCUAUCAUUGUGAAGCAGAAUUCACCAAGUGUUGGAUUUUUCACCCACCAAUAGGGAACGUGAGCUGGGUUUAGACUGUCGUGAGACAGGUUAGUUUUACCCUACUGAUGACAGUGUCGCAAUAGUAAUUCAACCUAGUACGAGAGGAACCGUUGAUUCACACAAUUGGUCAUCGCUCUUGGUUGAAAAGACAGUGGCACGAAGCUACCGUGUGCUGGAUUAUGACUGAAUGCCUCUAAGUCAGAAUCUGGGAUAGAAGCGAUGCAUGAGCCCGCCGUCCGGUUGCCGACCCACAGUAGGGGCCUCGUCCCCCAAGGGCACGUGUCGUUGGCUAAGCCGCCGCAGCAGAAGGGUCGCGGUGGCCGCCUUGAAGUACAAUUUCCAUACAGCGGCGGGCAGAAUCCUUUGCAGAUGACUUAAAUAUGCAACGGGGUAUUGUAAGUGGCAGAGUGGCCUUGCCGCCACGAUCCACUGAGAUUCAGCCCUUUGUCGCUCCGGUUUGU
rnacentral:rRNA from 1 species